rnacentral:rRNA from 1 species
GACUACAGGGGUAUCUAAUCCUGUUCGCUACCCACACUUUCGUGCCUCAGCGUCAAUCUAAGUCUAGUCAGCUGCCUUCGCAAUUGGUGUUCUAUGACAUAUCUAAGCAUUUCACCGCUACAUGUCUCAUUCCGCCAACCUCAACUCGAUUCAAGUCUUACAGUAUCAAUGGACCUCUUAUAGUUGAGCUACAACCUUUUACCACUGACUUAUAAAACCGCCUACGCACCCUUUAAACCCAGUGAUUCCGGAUAACGCUUGCACCCUCCGUAUUACCGCGGCUGCUGGCACGGAGUUAGCCGGUGCUUAUUCCUCAGGUACCGUCAGUACUAUAUCGCGUAUAGCAUUUUCUUCCCUGUUAAAAGCAGUUUACAACCCAGAGGGCUUUCAUCCUGCACGCGGCAUGGCUGGUUCAGAGUUCCCUCCAUUGACCAAUAUUCCUUACUGCAGCCCCCCGUAGG